GCGGAUGGCCGGAUGACCGCGGGCGGCUGGUCCGUUCGAGGAAAGUCCGGGCUCCAUGCAGGCACGGUGCCGGGUAACGCCCGGCGGGGGCAACCCCAGGGAAAGCGCCACAGAGAACAGACCGCCGCGCAGCCUAUCGCGCGGCAAGGGUGAAACGGUGGGGUAAGAGCCCACCGCGGGACGGGCAACCGGACCGGCAAGGCAAGCCCCACCGGGAGCAAUGCCGAAUAGGGAUCGCGCGCGGGGCUUCGGCCCCGCAGGGCCGCCUGCGCCCCAGCAGAUCCGGGUUGGCAGCUAGAUCCCGCCGGCAACGGCGGGGCCAGAGGAAUGGUCAUCCACGGGCAGUCCCGCAAGGGGCGGCCCCGGACAAAACCCGGCUUACAGGCCGUCCGCGCAA
rnacentral:RNase_P_RNA from 1 species